rnacentral:rRNA from 1 species
UACGUAGGGGGCUAGCGUUGUCCGGAAUCAUUGGGCGUAAAGCGCGUGUAGGCGGUCCGGUAAGUCCGCUGUGAAAGUCGGGGGCUCAACCCUCGAAUGCCGGUGGAUACUGUCGGGCUAGAGUGCGGAAGAGGCGAGUGGAAUUCCUGGUGUAGCGGUGAAAUGCGCAGAUAUCAGGAGGAACACCUAUUGCGAAGGCAGCUCGCUGGGAUGUAACUGACGCUGAGACGCGAAAGCGUGGGGAGCAAACAGG